GCAUCCUCAUGAGUCAGCCAACAGGUCCCACAUGGCUUGGAUCAGCUGGUGUCUCCUACCUGUGCCGCCUGGCGGUGACGGAGGAGCACAAGCUUCCAGCCGCGUUCCUGGGUGACCUAAAGGAAUGCAAGAAGGCUAAGCCGGCGCCGGGCGCGAGGGACUUACUGGUGUUCCGCAUGGCUCACUUCAUACUGG